rnacentral:lncRNA from 1 species
ACAUUGUUUUUUCCAUCGAUUUUCCUUCAAUUUGACGUCACGAUAUUCGUCGACGCAGUUUGACAGUUCUCUUCAGUUGGUCUUGUUUGGACUUGAUCAAAUCAGAGAAACUUUGUACCGAAUCGAACCAGUUUACGUUGCCGAAAGUUAGUGUGGAUUUUGGCCGGUUGAUUGAUUUCCUGAUUUCGGCCUUCGUGAUGGAGGAGGAGGAGGAGGAGGAGAACGGGUCACAUCGUUGCUCCGGCGGGCCAUGCCGGAAGACGGGAAGGGAAGCACCCGGUCUGCGAUCGAGGAAGCGGAUUGAUGUUUAACUUUCCGCGGGAGGUGGCGGUGCGUGCCAUACCCAAGGAGGAGGACAAUGAAACGGCAAGUAAUGGAUGUUUCCCCCAAUGGAACAGAAGGAGGGAGAAAGACCAUUCCCCUUCCCGUCAAGUCUUGGGGAGGUGUACAAUGUUCCGUGUGAAAAGAAAGGUGGAGGAAGACGGCGUUUCUGAUCCGCCGGAGGUUUUUAUACGGUAACCAAAAAUAUUCCAAUCGAAUCCUGCUGACAACCCAGCAUUUUCGUGUUGUCCCACGGAACGGAAGCUGAUCGCAAAAACACUUGCACCGGAAGUGCGUAAACCGACCUUGUCCGGACUCCGGUGGC